ACUCCUACGGGAGGCAGCAGUGGGGAAUUUUGGACAAUGGGCGAAAGCCUGAUCCAGCCAUGCCGCGUGCAGUAUGAAGGCCUUCGGGUUGUAAACUGCUUUUGUACGGAACGAAACGGCCUUUUCUAAUAAAGAGGGCUAAUGACGGUACCGUAAGAAUAAGCACCGGCUAACUACGUGCCAGCAGCCGCGGUAAUACGUAGGGUGCAAGCGUUAAUCGGAAUUACUGGGCGUAAAGCGUGCGCAGGCGGUUAUGUAAGACAGUUGUGAAAUCCCCGGGCUCAACCUGGGAACUGCAUCUGUGACUGCAUAGCUAGAGUACGGUAGAGGGGGAUGGAAUUCCGCGUGUAGCAGUGAAAUGCGUAGAUAUGCGGAGGAACACCGAUGGCGAAGGCAAUCCCCUGGACCUGUACUGACGCUCAUGCACGAAAGCGUGGGGAGCAAACAGGAUUAGAAACCCUUGUAGUCCCA
rnacentral:rRNA from 1 species